rnacentral:rRNA from 1 species
UACGGAGGGAGCUAGCGUUGUUCGGAAUUACUGGGCGUAAAGGGCUCGUAGGCGGCCAACUAAGUCGGAUGUGAAAUCCCCAGGCUCAACCUGGGAACUGCAUCCGAUACUGGAUGGCUUGAAUCCGGGAGAGGGAUGCAGAAUUCCAGGUGUAGCGGUGAAAUGCGUAGAUAUCUGGAGGAAUACCGGUGGCGAAGGCGGCAUCCUGGACCGGCAUUGACGCUGAGGAGCGAAAGCUAGGGGAGCAAACGGG